rnacentral:piRNA from 1 species
CUUUCCGGGCUCUGAUCGCUUCG